CAAGUCGACGAUGAUGCCCAGCUUGCUGGGUGGAUUAGUGGCGAACGGGUGAGUAAUACGUGAGUAACCUGCCCUUGACUCUGGGAUAAGCCUGGGAAACUGGGUCUAAUACUGGAUACUACCUCUUACCGCAUGGUGGGUGGUGGAAAGGGUUUUACUGGUUUUGGAUGGGCUCACGGCCUAUCAGCUUGUUGGUGGGGUAAUGGCUCACCAAGGCGACGACGGGUAGCCGGCCUGAGAGGGUGACCGGCCACACUGGGACUGAGACACGGCCCAGACUCCUACGGGAGGCAGCAGUGGGGAAUAUUGCACAAUGGGCGGAAGCCUGAUGCAGCGACGCCGCGUGAGGGAUGACGGCCUUCGGGUUGUAAACCUCUUUCAGUAGGGAAGAAGCGAGAGUGACGGUACCUGCAGAAGAAGCGCCGGCUAACUACGUGCCAGCAGCCGCGGUAAUACGUAGGGCGCAAGCGUUGUCCGGAAUUAUUGGGCGUAAAGAGCUCGUAGGCGGUUUGUCGCGUCUGCUGUGAAAGCCCGGGGCUCAACCCCGGGUCUGCAGUGGGUACGGGCAGACUAGAGUGCAGUAGGGGAGACUGGAAUUCCUGGUGUAGCGGUGAAAUGCGCAGAUAUCAGGAGGAACACCGAUGGCGAAGGCAGGUCUCUGGGCUGUUACUGACGCUGAGGAGCGAAAGCAUGGGGAGCGAACAGGAUUAGAUACCCUGGUAGUCCAUGCCGUAAACGUUGGGCACUAGGUGUGGGGGACAUUCCACGUUUUCCGCGCCGUAGCUAACGCAUUAAGUGCCCCGCCUGGGGAGUACGGCCGCAAGGCUAAAACUCAAAGGAAUUGACGGGGGCCCGCACAAGCGGCGGAGCAUGCGGAUUAAUUCGAUGCAACGCGAAGAACCUUACCAAGGCUUGACAUUCACCGGAYCGCCCCAGAGAUGGGGUUUCCCUUCGGGGCUGGUGGACAGGUGGUGCAUGGUUGUCGUCAGCUCGUGUCGUGAGAUGUUGGGUUAAGUCCCGCAACGAGCGCAACCCUCGUUCUAUGUUGCCAGCACGUGAUGGUGGGGACUCAUAGGAGACUGCCGGGGUCAACUCGGAGGAAGGUGGGGAUGACGUCAAAUCAUCAUGCCCCUUAUGUCUUGGGCUUCACGCAUGCUACAAUGGCCGGUACAAAGGGUUGCGAUACUGUGAGGUGGAGCUAAUCCCAAAAAGCCGGUCUCAGUUCGGAUUGAGGUCUGCAACUCGACCUCAUGAAGUCGGAGUCGCUAGUAAUCGCAGAUCAGCAACGCUGCGGUGAAUACGUUCCCGGGCCUUGUACACACCGCCCGUCAAGUCACGAAAGUUGGUAACACCCGAAGCCGGUGGCCUAACC
rnacentral:rRNA from 1 species